rnacentral:miRNA from 1 species
CUCAACUAUAGUUUAAUUU